UACAGGGGAGGGACAGCUGUUGUCGAAUUACUGGGCGUAAAGGGCGCGUAGGCGGCCGCUAAGUCGAACGUGAAAUCCCCGAGCUACAGGACGGACUCGCUCGAUGACGUGCGGUUGAAUUCGGGAGAGGGAUGCGGAAUUCCAGGUGUAGCGGUGAAAUGCGUAGAUAUCUGGAGGAACACCGGUGGCGAAGGCGGCAUCCUGGACCAACACUGACGCUGAGGAGCGAAAGCCAGGGGAGCAAACGGG
rnacentral:rRNA from 1 species